UACGUAGGGGGCAAGCGUUGUCCGGAUUUAUUGGGCGUAAAGAGCGUGUAGGCGGCCAGGUAGGUCAGCUGUGAAAACUCGAGGCUCAACCUCGAGACGUCGGUUGAAACCACCUGGCUAGAGUCCGGAAGAGGAGAGUGGAAUUCCUGGUGUAGCGGUGAAAUGCGCAGAUAUCAGGAGGAACACCGGUGGCGAAGGCGGGUCUCUGGGCCGAUACUGACGCUGAGGAGCGAAAGCGUGGGGAGCGAACAGG
rnacentral:rRNA from 1 species